UGGUUGCUCACAGCCGCACACGUGUACGACCUCUACGGAAGGUCCACUCGAAGCCUCGAUCUGAUUAGUCUUCUCGAAAGUGCUAGCUCGCGUGAAGACCUUCUUCUUGGUUGAUCUGGAUCCUUUCUUCAAAUCUCUAGAACCUUUCUAGAGAUUGAAGAUGGACUACUAGAGGAGAUAAAGAGGUGAAAGAAAGAUGGAGAGGAGACUAUCUUUCCUUUUCUUUUUC
rnacentral:lncRNA from 1 species